AUGAGGGGGUGCACUGGGCAGUGGGAGGGCCUUCAGGAGGGCGAGCCUGGGCCCUUCCUCAGGCAGGACCCCUGUCCCGGCCCCGCCUCCCUGUGGUGUACCCUGGGAGCCACGCCUGUCACACAGGAGUGUUGGGGAGCAGGCCACAGCAGGGGUUCCAUGUCAGCUACCUCCCUCGAUCCUAAAAAAUGCGGGGUCUUCUCCUUUGUGCUUGGGCAAACAGACUCAGGGGCUUGGUCGGCCUUGGAUCCAGCUCCUUCCGAUGGCCUGGGAGGGCAGAGGGAGAUGGCCCGGAUGGAGCGCCUGGCUCCUGGCUUCCGUCCUGGCUGUUGUGGCCAUUUGGGCAGUGAACCAGUGUAUGGACGUGAUCUCCUUGUCUGUCCAUCUUUCAAAGCAAUCUGUCAGCAAUCAACUAAAAAUAGGCUUAGUCUUUUCCCGGGCUUUGCACCAGAGCCCAGGCCAGGCCUCGCCUGUGAGCGGGGUGCAGAGCUGAAGCCUGGCCCUGAGUCUGCCGCCUCCCACCCCAGCAUGGGCCUGGCACUCAGCGUGCUGACCUGCUGGGGCCUGUGGAGCUGGCCGUGCUGGGGGAGCGGGCUGCUGUAUACACACGGCCCCUGUUUCCCACUUGGUCAGCCCCAGCCUGGGAGCUGUGACGCCGUCCACAUGACUGCGCCUGUGACCUUAUCAGGAGCCGGGGGCUCGUGCCUGCUGAUGGUGCUGUGCAGGGCAGGCGGCCUGGUGUCCACCCUGUACCUCCCCUCAGGGCCUGCACGCUGCCCUCCUGGUCCCCACACGACCUCUGCAGCGCCUGUCCCCCACUUCCCACAGUCUGCCCUCCCCGGCUGGGUGCCGGGGCGCUGGACGGGAACUGAAAGUGAACUGUACAGAGGCUCUGCAGUGGUGUUGCUGGGUCGCCCCUGGGACUCCGUCUUGUGCUGGUGGUGGCCCUCAGCCCAGCAGAGCUCUGAAGGGGGACACAGCAUGUGGCAGCCUGGCCCCGAGCUCUGUGAGCCACCAGGCACCUGGUCACCCACUUGGCCCUCAGUCAGAGCUGUCUGGGUGACCCGUGCCCAAGGCUCUGGUGACUGA
rnacentral:lncRNA from 1 species